rnacentral:tRNA from 1 species
UGGGGUGUAGCUCAAUGGUAGAGCAUUUGCCUAGCAUGGGCGAGGCCCUGGGUUGGAUCCCCAGUAACUCAC